UGGCAUUCCAGUCCAGUUUAUCAUCCUGCUGCACUCCCAGGUGGAACCCCUAGGGGCGUGGCCACCCUGACAUCUCUUCUGAGGGCCCACCCUCUGCCAGUUUUGUUCAAGUGGAGAAUACGGAUCCCUCAGAGCAUCACUGGAGUUUGUGGAGUAAAGGUGUGUUGUGCCAGUCUGCACCACCCCCACCUGAUCAAAGCACCGUGAUGUCCCUACAUUGAUGGAUUAAAGGCCAGAAGUCCACAUGACCGUCAUCAUCA